rnacentral:misc_RNA from 1 species
GAUGAAGAACGUAGUGAAAUGCGAUAAGUAGUGUGAAUUGCAGAAUUCAGUGAAUCAUCGAAUCUUUGAACGCACAUUGCGCCCCUUGGUAUUCCAUGGGGCAUGCCUGUUCGAGCGUCAUCUACAACCCUCAAGCCCUGCUUGGUGUUGGGCGUCUGUCCCGCCCCCGCGCGCGGACUCGCCCCAAAUCCAUUGGCGGCGGCCCUUGCCUCCCUCUCGCGCAGCACAUUGCGCUUCUCGAGGCGUCGCGGGCCGCGCUCCACGAAGCACGCAAACCAGUCUUUGACCUCGGAUCAGGUAGGGAUACCCGCUGAACUUAAGCAUAUCAAUAAGCGGAGGA